AUUGAACGCUGGCGGCAUGCCUUACACAUGCAAGUCGAACGGUAACAGGUUAAGCUGACGAGUGGCGAACGGGUGAGUAAUAUAUCGGAACGUGCCCAAUCGUGGGGGAUAACGCAGCGAAAGUUGUGCUAAUACCGCAUAAGAUCUACGGAUGAAAGCGGGGGAUCGCAAGACCUCGCGCGAGUGGAGCGGCCGAUAUCAGAUUAGCUAGUUGGUGGGGUAAAGGCCCACCAAGGCGACGAUCUGUAGCUGGUCUGAGAGGACGACCAGCCACACUGGGACUGAGACACGGCCCAGACUCCUACGGGAGGCAGCAGUGAGGAAUAUUGGGCAAUGGGCGCAAGCCUGACCCAGCAACGCCGCGUGGAGGAAGACGGCCUUCGGGUUGUAACUCCUUUACGGGUAAGAGGAAGGACGGUACCCGACGAAUAAGU
rnacentral:rRNA from 1 species